rfam:Glossina morsitans morsitans, isolate Yale, WGS project CCAG01000000 data, contig: ctg10015780
UGUGGGAGCGAGAUAGGGACUUGCUGUGAUUUUAUUAUCGUCAAUUCGACAAGUCAGUCUUUUUCUCUCUCCUAUA